UCGUUUCUAGUAAUUUUGAGCAACGAAACUUUUAUUGUGAAUACAAAACAUUCUAUUUGAAAGUUUUUCCAUCAACAAAACAUUGUAGCUUUGAAAGCGAAAAUUUUUCAAAUGAGAGAUGAAAUAAUCUUAAAUCAACUUUUCAUUUUAUUGAUUUGGCAACACAAACAGGAAUAAUCUGGCAACUAUACGAGCUGUCAAUGACUGGACUUGAAAAAUCUCUCCAUUUCAAAAAAAGCAAGUGCUGCUCCUUCGACGAAGUAAAUUGAUCCACAGAUGUUGGAAGAGCACAGCUGGACUCUGGAAAUUUCAUUAAGAGGAUAAAACAUCCGCGGCAAAAUCCCGCCGGAACACCGAAAAAUGGCUGCAAAAAGAGAAGUUGACCGCUACCACCUUUAAACGCGACCCUGCGGCACAUUAUUUAGAAUAUACAAACCAUGCUGAUUGCAAAACGAUCAAAAAUAUAAUAAAAUGGAAAUAAAAUAAUGAA